UCCUCCUUAUUUUCUCCUUUUCUUCUUCUUUUCUUUGCCUUGCCUUUUCUUGCUUUGUUUUUUCUUGCCUUUUCUGGUUUAAAUAUUACAAUUUGCUUUAUAGUUUGCUUAAUUUUCUACAGUUCCUCUCUUAAGAUGAUGCAGCUUUGUACCACAUUUAUUUGGGAAGCAUGGGGCCUCAGUGUACCUGUUGGUGAGAAGUUCAGCAGGCAGUGAACCUAAGGAAUUACUGUGUCCAAAACUACACUGGGAUUUACUGCCACCCCCUUGCUUUGACCCAGACCUGCCAUACUUUUGUGGCAUUGUUGUCAUGGGUGAGGGCUGUUCCUGGUCUCUUUGUGCUUCCACUGCUUCAGCACGUGAGUAUCUGAUGAGCUCAGGGAGGCAGCUACCUGCUUGGUGCUGUGCUUUGCCAAAUAAUCCUUUGGAAGAACACAAGCUAACCCCGACACUCUGUUGACUUUUCCAGCAGGACUUCAGGAAGGGAUCCUCCCACUGGGUUACAACUCUGAGUUAAGACGUGACAUCACAUGCCAAAGAGAACGUGGCUGCUUUGUUCCCUGCUUGUACAGACAGAUAUGGCACUAGACACUGCCUGUAUCUAGGGCCUGAGUGCUUUUAUGCCUGUAAUGCCACUCAGCUCACAUCCCUGCAUGCACUGGAGCAGCACAACUGUCCCUCUUGCACCAGAAAAAGUGGGAAUGUUGGAUGGUAAGAUCCCUGCCAGACAAGUCCACAAAGUAGAAUGCUGGACAACUGAGAAGAUGUAUGAGCCACAUGUCCUCCUACUGUGUUCUUUUUCUGCCCUCACAGUUUCAAGAUAUUCUUCGUAAUAAAAUUUAAGGACAAUUAAAUGUCUUUACAAAAAGCAAGAUAUCAGCCAGAGGCAAAAUUCCCUAGUAUCCAGCUCUAGUGUAAGCUUUCAGACUGAGCCUUGUCUUCUCCCUGAAGCUCUGGGUUUCUCCAGUGUCAGAUUAAAAAAAAAAAAAAAACCACAAAAAAAACCCCCAAAAAACCCACAAAACAAAACAAAACAAAACAAAACAAAACAAAACAAAACAAAACAAAAAAAAAACCAA